GUGUGCUUUGAUAAAGUAGAGAGCUGACACGCAUUAUAGUGAUGUCCAUUGCCUGUCAUGGACUACUUCAAAACAACAGAAAAUCAAGAAUCAAGGUGGCCCCAACUGACAUUCCAGGCUUCCACUGAUGAAGGAAUGGGGUGAAUUCCUCCCUCCUUCAAGCAACCAAAACAUCUGUCCAGUUUAGUCAUCACAGAACUACAGUCAAUCAUUUUAAAAGAGGACCUGAGCCCUAGGACCAUGCCUCAGGACUACCUGGCAUGAUGACUCCUUGCUGUCCCCAGUCCACCUGGCCGUGCUGCUGCUCCAGUUUCAAUUGUUCUGCCUGCGGCUAUGGAACCCUAACCUGUUCACCGGACGUGCUACCUGUCCCAGACCUUCUGUUUUUAACUGUCUAGAGACAGCCGGAGCGGUAGAGAUACUCUUAAUGAUCGGCUAUGAAAAGCCAACUGACAUUUACUCCUGAGGUGCUGACCUGUUGCACCCUCGACAACCACUG